UACGUAGGGUGCAAGCGUUAAUCGGAAUUACUGGGCGUAAAGCGUGCGCAGGCGGUUUUGUAAGUCUGUCGUGAAAGCCCCCGGGCUCAACCUGGGAAUUGCGAUGGAGACUGCAAGGCUUGAAUCUGGCAGAGGGGGGGUAGAAUUCCACGUGUAGCAGUGAAAUGCGUAGAGAUGUGGAGGAACACCGAUGGCGAAGGCGGCAGUCCUGGACCGGCAUUGACGCUGAGGCGCGAAAAGCCAGGGGAGGCAAACGGG
rnacentral:rRNA from 1 species